rnacentral:rRNA from 1 species
UACAGAGGGGGCAAGCGUUGUUCGGAAUUACUGGGCGUAAAGCGCACGUAGGCGGCUUGGUAAGUCGGACGUGAAAUCCCGAGGCUCAACCUCGGGUCUGCAUCCGAUACUGCCCGGCUAGAGGUAGGUAGGGGAGAUCGGAAUUCCUGGUGUAGCGGUGAAAUGCGCAGAUAUCAGGAGGAACACCGGUGGCGAAGGCGGAUCUCUGGGCCUUACCUGACGCUCAGGCGCGAAAGCUAGGGGAGCGAACUGG